UUAAAAUCAAGGCACAGAUAAUUUUUCUGCUAAGUAGUUAUCAUGCCAUGCUUUGGUGUAUUUGAAACUCUUUGAGGCUUAUUCUACCUCAAAAUUUCCGAGGCUUUGAAAAGUUGCAGAUUCUUCACCUCUCCAAUACAUUGCUUUUGCUAGAUGGAUUCAAGAAUUUGAUUUUUAGCAGCCCUUGGUUAAAGGUUUUACAAAUAUGUUUAUUGUGAGAUUGCAAUAAUUUUAGAUUUCACUCAAACUUUCUCUGAUUUUUAAGGAUCAUGCAUAUUGCCAAUCAUCUCCAUUUGGUGACCUCUUUAUUGAAUGAUGCAUCCAUCAUCCUACUACAAUUUGGUCAUCAUGGAAUUCAAGAGGAAAAUAAUCAACUUCUGAAGGUAUUACUAAUUGGAAGACUUGCAUACAAAUGCAGCUUAGGAUGGGCAUCGUCAUCUACUAGGCCUUCCCUGUUGCUCUGCUCUCCCCUACGCCUUGUCCUCAUUGGCUUGUCUUCCUCUCUUCCUUCUUCUCUCGCUAGUUCUAGUUCAAGGAAUGAAGGUUCCAAAUGCACUUUCAUGUCCGGGCUGGGGUACGUCAGUGAGAGUUUUCUGCUUAUUUGAAAAUGCUGAUGUUGCACCAGAACCUGAAAUAUAGACAUUCGGCGGAAGAGCAUUCUUGUACAAACAUUUGAAGUUAGCUGAAGUACUUGCGGUUGGAGUUUAGAUUUGAUCACCUUCUCGUGUUGAAGUUCAAGAACAGUUCAGGUUUGGAUACUUGAUUUUCAAUUCUGAAGUUUAUACUCAAAUGCUGCAUCAUUGCUUAUAUAAAGAGGAAAGUACAAAAUCUUUAAUGACCCUGCGGAAGUAUAAGAAAUUGCAUGAAGAAGUUGAAGUCUUUUCUAAUUGGCCUCAACAUAUUUACCAAAAAUUAUCCGUAGAUGAUGACAUUCCAUAUGAUGAACUUAAGGUUGAACUUGUGUCACCACCAAGACAGCAUUGUAGUCUGUCCAAAUCAUCAGCAGCAUCAAACAUUGUGGGUGCUGGUUGCUUGUAAUGGUGACUUUUCAAACAUUCCCAAUCUCUGGGUUUUUACUUAGCUUCUAGUUCUUGUAAUAGGAAAGAACCAAUCAUAUUCUCAAG